GCCACACCCUGUUAGUCUACUCCUGUGGGGGUGCGUGAGCGAACUUCGCUCACGCUCCUGGAGGUUCUUAUAUAGCCUCCCCCAGCACUUGCUAACGAGCCUGACCCACCCCUCACUCACCUUAAUUGGUUCUGAGGAAGAGUCAAGCCUGAGCAGCAAAAUGGCCGAGUAGUUCUCCUGGAGGUUCUUAUAUAGCCUCCCCCAGCACUUGCUAACGAGCCUGACCCACCCCUCACUCACCUUAAUUG